UACGUAGGGUGCGAGCGUUAAUCGGAAUUACUGGGCGUAAAGCGUGCGCAGGCGGUUUUGUAAGCCAGAUGUGAAAUCCCCGGGCUUAACCUGGGAACUGCGCUUCUAACUGGUAGGCUUGAGUGUGGCAGAGGGGGGUGGAAUUCCACGUGUAGCAGUGAAAUGCGUAGAGAUGUGGAGGAACACCGAUGGCGAAGGCAGCCCCCUGGGCUAACACUGACGCUCAUGCACGAAAGCGUGGGGAGCAAACAGG
rnacentral:rRNA from 1 species